rnacentral:rRNA from 1 species
CACACCACCAGAGAACUACGAACUAAAGUUUAAAACUCAAAGGACUUGGCGGUAUUUUAGACCUCCCUGGAGGGGCUUGCCACCUAACCGAUAACCCACGAAAAACCUCACCAGCCUUAGAACCUAACCCAACCUGUAUACCAUCGUCGUCAGUCUACCCCUCAAGGAAAGUAUACAAAAAGAGCUCUCCUGACUACGUCAGAUCGAGGUGCAGUUAAUGAGCUGGGGGUGAGUGAGCUACAACAUCAUAACAAAUUAAACACAAUUAUGAACAGCCUAAUGAAAAAACAGAACUCGAAAUCGGAUUCAGCAGUAAUGUUUAACAGAAAAUAAACAUGAAGAA